rnacentral:rRNA from 1 species
GAUGAACGCUAGCGGCAGGCUUAACACAUGCAAGUCGAGGGGUAUUAGGAGCUUGCUCCUAAGAGACCGGCGCACGGGUGCGUAACGCGUAUGCAACCUACCUUGAACAGGGGGAUAGCCCAGAGAAAUUUGGAUUAAUACCCCAUGGUAUAUUAGAAUGGCAUCAUUUUAUUAUUAAAGUCACAACGGUUCAAGAUGGGCAUGCGUACCAUUAGCCAGAUGGUAAGGUAACGGCUUACCAUGGCUACGAUGGGUAGGGGUCCUGAGAGGGAGAUCCGCCACGCGGGUGCUGAGACACGGACCAGACUCCUACGGGAGGCAGCAGUGAGGAAUCUUGGUCAAUGGGCGCAAGCCUGAACCAGCCAUGCCGCGUGCAGGAUGAAGCAUCUAUGGUGUGUAAACUGCUUUUAUACGGGAAGAAACCCUGCCACGUGUGGCAGAUUGACGGUACCGUAGGAAUAAGGAUCGGCUAACUCCGUGCCAGCCGCCGCGGUAA